UCUUGGAAGCUUUGUCUUGGCUACAACUACCUCAAGUGCUUAAACAUUUGAUGGUUUUUGUGUGCAAUAGCUAUUUCAAUGGUUUUAUCUUGUAAAGUUGUAAACAAUGGUUUGGCUGCUUGAUGGAUUUUGUGUGCAAUAGCUAUUUCAAUGAAAAACUUGUUUUACUACUUUAACUUAUAAAAAAUAAUUUAACUUCAACCUGAAGGCUGCUCAAUGUGAUCACUGAUCAGUUUGAAAUUUACAUAUAUGCUGUUGUUUAGUAUUUUGUAAUCUAUAUAUUAUUUGAUUAGCUGAGUAGUUGUAGGGUCAAGUCUUGUUCUGUUUCCUUUUUUAGCUAAAUUGUGUCUCUCAUUUAAAUAUAAGGUAUUGGUACAGAUCAGAAUGUUCCGUGCCUGCAUUUGUUUUUUGCUCUUCCUGAGAUUGCACAUACAUAGAUAGAUACUCCUUUAAUUUAAGCCAUUAGUAAUUGUAAUUAUUUAAUUUAAAACAUUAAUUUGUGGGCAUGUGAUUCAUCUACUACUAAAUAAUAUGUAUGGACAGAUUGGGACGAGAAGUAAGCCAUGUAUGUUAAUGGAAAUUAACCUAAAAAUGGUUCAUAAAGCUAAGCUACACAUUGCACAUGUGCCUCCACAACUUUGAUGAACUAUACACAAUACAGACAUGCAUUGCAUAACUUUGUAUUUAUGUUCGUUAUAUAUCAUAUGUGUGUUUGUGCCUUAUUGAUUUAGUUUAAGGGGGGAAGUCCAUUUGAAUUAAGUGUAAUUAAAAAACCUGGGUACCUCAUCACUGCAUUGUAAUCUCCCCAUUUAGUUAGAGGUCAGUAUUUGUUUAGAUAUAAAAGCACAUGCAUUUCUAUGUUUAAAUUUUCAUAUAGAAAUCAGUGUUUUUGUCUUCGCUAGUUGCUACUUAGUAAUAAAUUUUAUUGUUUUUCAUGGUAUCUCCAAGUACUAGUCAUUUCAAUUAAUUGGAUGUCCUUUUGACAUUAGAAUUUUACUGCAUGCAGAUCUAUAAUUUGGACAGCACAGACUUUGCAAUUCUCUUGCAGUUUCAUUUAAGCUCUAUGAUUUGGACAGCACAGACUUUAUAGAAUGCCAAAGAGGUAGCUAUUCUUUUUAUUUGAUGCUUCAGGAUGUAAGUAACUUAUUUUUUUAUGGAGGAAGAGAUGGAUAGAUUCAGCAAAGUUCAAGAGAGUUUCUUGCCAAGUUCUUCAACUCUCAAUAUACUUGAAUUCAUGUUAGUGAUCAAAACAUAAAUGUGGAGCCAAUUAAAUUGUUGCAAUUGUGAAAAAUGUGAUGCUUUAGUAAUUUUUUAUUUGAAUUUUGGCAGAUUGUUGAUAUUAACAAAACUCUGUUGUUGUUCAUAGAGCUUCAAACCUUAGGUGACAGCUUCUGUGAUUUGGUUUAAUGGAGGUUCCAAUUUACAGGAAUACCAAAGAUUUAGAAUUGGAAAUGAUGGGAACUUACAAGGAGUGCUAUUAGAUUGAUUCUUUGGACACUUUGGCUCUACUCGGUGACCGUGACCGCUUUGCCGCUUCCGUUGAAUGGAUUGGUAAAAAUAACCAGGAUGAAAAACAUGAAAACAAAGGAAAAGAUGAGAGCUGUGAAGUUGCUAAAAGCGGUGCAUCUGAAAGGGAAGAUGCAACUGACGAGAUUUAGCAUAUAGGACAAGUCAAGCAUGGAUAUAAAAUAUGCAAGUAGAUUGACAUCUUUUUUACAAAUAUUAAUUACUAUUUUG